ensembl:lncRNA
UGUGACUUCAGAAUGCCCAGGGAACAGACAGCUUCCAUGCUUGGUGGUCGGGAACCAAUAAAUAUUUGCUAAAGGAAUGAAGGAAUGAAUGGAUCCAGGGCUGCAGCAGUGGCAGAGAGGCAAACAAGCACGAGCUCCAGGAGAAGUUGUAACUGAGGAAAGAACCCAUCAUAGGCAUCCUGGCGUCCAUCCUGGGUCUAGGAGUUGGUAAGCUGAAGAAGUCAAGCCAGCCUGCUGGGGACCUAAAAACUUACCUUGAAAGUUCAACUGAAUCUCUUAAUUACCCAACUCCAGAAUCAUCUGUGCCAUAUGACAACGAGCCACUUAAAGUUUUUUUCAGUCCUUUUUGAGAAGCAACUUGCAGUCAAAAGCAUCUUAACAGAUAUGGCAAAAAUUAGCAACCCAUGGGACUUGGUGGGUCUUUUGGCUGUGGGUGGAAGGCAAGAGACAUGAGUGGGAGAGGAGUCCUUAUUUUUGAGCUUGGCUCAUUACAUAGAAGAUAGUACUGAUUAUUAAUACUGAGAUGAACAGCCUAGGAGUUGGUUUUAACAGAACAAUGUAAGAACAUUCAUCUUUUGAAAAAGCGAAAAUUUCUUAGUUUGUAGGAUAUGUACGGUGAGCUGAGAGUGGAAAGGACAAUGGUGUUCAUAUGUUUUGUUCUAUACUGACGAGACAUGGGUGGAUGCCUAGUAUAGAAGUUACCAUCUCCGUGACACUGGGCAUAUUGCUUAACUUUCUUGUGUUUCCAUUUUUUAAUCAAUAAAAUGGGC